rnacentral:rRNA from 1 species
GACGAACGCUGGCGGCGUGCCUAAUACAUGCAAGUAGAACGCUGAAGGAGGAGCUUGCUUCUCUGGAUGAGUUGCGAACGGGUGAGUAACGCGUAGGUAACCUGCCUGGUAGCGGGGGAUGACUAUUGGAAACGAUAGCUAAUACCGCAUAAUAGUAGAUGUUGCAUGACAUUUGCUUAAAAGGUGCAAUUGCAUCACUACCAGAUGGACCUGCGUUGUAUUAGCUAGUUGGUGGGGUAACGGCUCACCAAGGCGACGAUACAUAGCCGACCUGAGAGGGUGAUCGGCCACACUGGGACUGAGACACGGCCCAGACUCCUACGGGAGGCAGCAGUAGGGAAUCUUCGGCAAUGGACGGAAGUCUGACCGAGCAACGCCGCGUGAGUGAAGAAGGUUUUCGGAUCGUAAAGCUCUGUUGUAAGAGAAGAACGAGUGUGAGAGUGGAAAGUUCACACUGUGACGGUAUCUGACCAGAAAGGGACGGCUAACUACGUG